rnacentral:rRNA from 1 species
UGGGGAAUAUUGGACAAUGGGCGAAAGCCUGAUCCAGCCAUGCCGCGUGUGUGAAGAAGGCCUUUUGGUUGUAAAGCACUUUAAGCGAGGAGGAGGCUACUUGGAUUAAUACUCUAGGAUAGUGGACGUUACUCGCAGAAUAAGCACCGGCUAACUCUGUGCCAGCAGCCGCGGUAAUACAGAGGGUGCGAGCGUUAAUCGGAUUUACUGGGCGUAAAGCGUGCGUAGGCGGCUUCUUAAGUCGGAUGUGAAAUCCCUGAGCUUAACUUAGGAAUUGCAUUCGAUACUGGGAAGCUAGAGUAUGGGAGAGGAUGGUAGAAUUCCAGGUGUAGCGGUGAAAUGCGUAGAGAUCUGGAGGAAUACCGAUGGCGAAGGCAGCCAUCUGGCCUAAUACUGACGCUGAGGUACGAAAGCAUGGGGAGCAAACAGGAUUAGAUACCCUGGUAGUCCAUGCCGUAAACGAUGUCUACUAGCCGUUGGGGCCUUUGAGGCUUUAGUGGCGCAGCUAACGCGAUAAGUAGACCGCCUGGGGAGUA